CUCUUGGCGUGUAUGUGUUUUGCGCCCAGAAUUUGAUACGCGUGCGUGUUGGGUCUGACACUUGGUGCAUGUAUGUGUAUUUGCAUGUCUGAAUUAGUGGUCACUUUGUUCUCUGUAGUUCUAUUUCAGCAUAGCAGAGCAUCCAGUUGUAUGACCACAGAUAACCCUGGACUAGUGCGUCCCAAACACUGGGUUGGGUCCCAAUGGUGGGCCACAUCGGAGCCAGUCCCUCUCAAGUCACUGCUAAACAUUGGGUUGCGGCUAGCAUGGUUUUGGGUGAGUAACAAGAACAUUCCAAGGACUUUGGGCAGCCCCACAAUGUCACAAUGUUUCACAAACUUUCACUGCCUUUUACCAUGAACUGUAUGUCAUAUAAAAUUCCCCUCUCUUUCCUCAUCCAGUUCCCGAUAUCUCUCAGGGGGACAUCCUCAGGACGAUUUCUAUUCUAGUUAUGGGACGUUAUGUCAAUUGUUCCAAGAACAAUAACGGGACAUUCUCAUGACAUUCGGUCCACUUGAAAGUUAUUCCAUAAAGGACUAAUGAUGCUAACAAUCCUAAUGCUGCUAACUACGCUAAUGAUGCUUGAGAUGCUAGCAGCAAUCAGACUAAUGCUGUGCGUUUCCUGUCAGGGCAAUCACCGCGGUGACAGACAUGUCACUGUUUACAUCUACAGUGUAUUGUCUGUUUACCGUCACGUUUAAACACUCUGACGACCACGAUGCUAUCUCAUGGAAAAGUUUAGUCGGUCAUCUUGAUAGCGUGUGUUAGCCCAAGUGGUUCUCUAAGACCUAAGUGGCCAGUAGGCCUCUAGGGGGUUGCUAUGAUUGUCUUAAUAGCAGCGGGCCUGUCCGGAGGGGUAAGACGAAGGCUGGGAUUCCAUCCAAGGUGCGUUGUAGAGCGCUUUUGACAAUGCGCCUUUUAAAGGCAACGUUCCCACAUUCGAAGGAGAUCGCAUUCACUGUCAACACUGCAGAUGUCGGCUCAAUCUGAAAUGAUCUGCACACGUGAAGUGCUCUACAACGAGCCUCGAAUUGAAUUUCGGCCUAACAUUAUUGCCAGUCAGAAAAAAGGCAUGAGGUAAACCCACACUGUUGCGCUACACCAGGAUGCGUUAAACCAGCUCACAGCUUAGUUUACCACCCAGCCUGACGGGCUUCUUUGGGCGUAUUCGUCUCUGAGUUACAGUCAUUACACAAACUGAAUAAUCUGUGAGCCACUAUAGAUAGUCUACUUUCUCCCGCUGAGUUCCACCAUUAUUUGAACAACCCCUCCCUGGUCUCCACUAGCUGUUUCUCCUCAUGUUCCUUGCCUGUUAUGAUUUUCUGGAGCCAUUUUCCUCCCCCUCCUAUCGUCCGAUCAGCACAUUUCCUCCUCGGAAUGACACAGUUUCCAGGCCCCAUUAAGAGCAAUCAGAGAGAUAACACAGUCUCUCCCUUUCUCUCUACCUCUCUCUCCCUUCCCCCUCCCUCUAUCCUCUCUCCUGUACCCUCCCUCCUCCUGAACACUCAUAUCAGAUGAGUCAUUUUGAGAAGACUAUGUGAAGAUUAAGAUAGAGUUACGAAUGAGUGUCACGCCCACUCCCCCUCUCCCACCCUCACCCUCUUAUCUACUCUUUCUUGUUUAGUCAUACCAGACCGAUAAUAAGAUCAAUCUUUCAAAAACAAACAACUAACCGUUAUGGUAAAAAAAAAACUUAACCAGUGGGAGCAGAGUAACUCUCAUCCUCUGGGUUUGGAGAAAAAAAGGAAUGUACCGAGAGGAACACACUGAUUUUACCACCAGCACACCAUUACUCAUACUCCCUUUCCUAUACAUCAGUCUGCACAACAACAACAAUUACAACAGUAAUGUUUUCCUCCUUGUUCUCUCUAACCCUGUCACACCCUGACCUUAGUAUUCUUUGUUUUCUUUAUGAUUUUGGUUAGGUCAGGGUGUGACAUGGGUGAUGUAUGUGUUUUACUUUGUCUAGGGUUUUUUGUAUGUUUAUGGCGGUGUUUCCUAUCUAGGUGUUUUUGUAAGUCUAUGGUUGCCUAGAUUGGUUCUCAAUUAGAGGCAGGUGCUUAUCGUUGUCUCUGAUUGGGAACCAUAUUUAGGCAGCCAUAUUCUUUGGGUCAUUUGUGGGUGAUUGUUCCCGUUUCCAGUGUUAGUGUCCACGUUACGGGACUGUUUCGGCUUCGUUCAUUUUUGUCGGUUUGUUGUUUUUGUUCAUUGUUUAAGUUUCCUAUUAAAUAUGGAUAAUCAUCACGCUGCAUUUUGGUCCUCCUCUCUUUCACCCGAAGACAAACCCUUUUACCCUCGUCUUCCGCAAUUGUUCCUCAGCUGUGGAGAAAUAGCUUUUUGAGAACAAUAACUGCUUCCUGCAGCGAGUUAGGCUGCUCUGCAGUGGGGCGCUGAAUGGGAAAAUACACAAGAUUGGAAUGUCCACAGUGUAAGACGUUCUACGUUGGAUGGACAAAGAGACACCGUCAUGACUGCUUAGCAGAACAUAAGUACGCCAUACAGACAGGAAAUGAAGACUACCCCAUGGCAAGGAGAAGGACUAUUUGGGUUUUGCCACCCUCCCCAACCAGGUCCACAGGAAGUCAGUGAAGAAGGGGUUUGACUUUACCCUCAUGAUGUUAGUUGAGGAGGAUGCAGGAGAUGCUUCAGAAGAUGCAACAUGAGCAGGUCCUGUGAGCGCUGAUCCUUUACCUUUCACCCCAGAGCUUCUACCUCGCUCCUCUCACCUAAUGAUAUGUGGGAGGAGUAUCACAGGGUCAAUCACAUGCUGGCCAAUCACACACUGCCACCUGACCACUGCCUCUUAAUCGUAAACAUUCAUUGGAGUUCUAUACAGUACAGUUCUGUUUGAACUUUCUGUAAUUGUUACUCCCUCUUCUGAAUAUGUUCAUGUCUCCAAUCACUAACAGAGAAACUGGACACAUGGUAAAACCAACACUAAACACUCUCCAAACCAUGGACAUUAUAGGUCGGCCACACCCUACAUUGGAGUUUGACUUUUAAACAGGGUCAAGCAUUUUGUCAAUGUUUUGUUGGUGUUGUGAAAAACCAAGAAACGACGUUCUGUUGGAUACCGUUAGAAGCCAAGACUGGAGCCAAGCUUUGUAGCGCUGUAGUAGAUUUGCACCUUAGAUUGCAGUUGAUGUCCGAUCCCCUUUUUGUGUAUUCAAGGUGAAGUUAUUUAGGACUUAAUAAGACUGUUUAUGAUUAUGGUUGAAUAUGUAUUUUGCACUCUACCUGAUCACACAGUUAGAAUGUUGGCCAGAUGAAUUUAUUCUGUUUCUAACAUUGUGUUCCAUGUUAUUCAUUUUAAUCGAUGGCAUCUUUGCAUGAGUAAAAGUGAGCAUGUGAAAUUGUGAGUGUAAGUGUGUGUGUGUUUAUAGUUGGUGUGUGUGUGAGAGAAAUAGAGAUUUUGUCUCUAUGUCAGAAACAUAGACCACAGUGCCAUUUCCUGUCUGACAGAAGUUAUGAAACGAACCAAAGUUUUAAGCGAGACUAAAUGUGCAAUUUCCUUUUAGUCCAUUGACAGACUGAGGCUUUCUAAAGCACCACUUCUGUCUAUGAAGGCUCUCUUACGGAACCGGGGCAAAGUGUUACAGCACAGUCAAUACUCUGACAGUCUACUUUACAUUACAUUAGAUAACAUUAGAUAAAGAAUCAUUAGAUCAAACUCAAAUGAAAAACUUUAUUGGACCAGAACCCCUUGACAAGAUUGCAUUACACCCUUUAAGUGUGUGUGUGUGUGUGUGCCUGUGUGUCAGUGGUGGUGAGGUUUAGCCUGUAUGUUGGUCCAUCCCAUUGUUGUACGCUACAUAGAUGAGUACAUAUGUCAGCAUGAUCAAGGUUGUGUCCACACAGACACAGUGAUGUCUCACACUGGUGCUCGUCACAAAAUAAAAGCCCACCGUUGUACCUUU